rnacentral:miRNA from 1 species
AGAAUCGUAGCGCGUGUUGUUU